rnacentral:rRNA from 1 species
CCUACGGGAGGCAGCAGUCGGGAAUUUUGGGCAAUGGGCGAAAGCCUGACCCAGCAACGCCGCGUGAAGGAUGAAGUAUUUCGGUAUGUAAACUUCGUAAAAUAGGAAGAAUAAAUGACGGUACUAUUUGUAAGGUCCGGCUAACUACGUGCCAGCAGCCGCGGUAAUACGUAGGGACCAAGCGUUGUUCGGAUUUACUGGGCGUAAAGGGCGCGUAGGCGGCGUGACAAGUCACUUGUGAAAUCUCCGGGCUUAACUCGGAACGGUCAAGUGAUACUGUUGUGCUAGAGUACAGAAGGGGCAAUCGGAAUUCUUGGUGUAGCGGUGAAAUGCGUAGAUAUCAAGAGGAACACCAGAGGCGAAGGCGGAUUGCUGGGCUGAUACUGACGCUGAGGCGCGAAAGCUAGGGUAGCAAACGGGAUUAGAUACCCCGGUAGUCCUAGCCCUAAACGAUGAAUACUUGGUGUCUGGAGUUUAAUUCUCUGGGUGCCGUCGCUAACGUUUUAAGUAUUCCGCCUGGGGAGUACGCACGCAAGUGUGAAACUCAAAGGAAUUGACGG